GGAGUUCCAUCCUCUAUUUUCGAAACUGUUCAUCAAAUCUUCACCAAACUUACAUGACCUUUAGGUACCUACC